rnacentral:ncRNA from 1 species
UGAUAGCUAUGAAGCGUGAGGUUGCUGCUAAAGGGUGAUGCCGGAAAGCAGGUUUUCCGUGGAGCGAAUGUCAAGUUAGGAAACUGACGACAA